CAUCUAGCAUGUGCGCAAGUCAUUGGGUAUUUAUAAUAAACCUAAAGGCGUAAUGAAAGUAAAUAUAUAUAUAAUUUUUAUAAUUAUUUUAUAAAGGGAAGAUGGGUAACGUUAUUUAUGUUACCUCGCAUUCCCGGGGCGUCGCGUACUUAUUGCAAGUUGCGGCGCACCAAGAGCGUACACGCUGGGACCCGAAAGAUGGUGAACUAUGCCUGGUCAGGAUGAAGUCAGGGGAAACCCUGAUGGAGGUCCGUAGCGAUUCUGACGUGCAAAUCGAUCGUAUGAACUGGGUAUAGGGGCGAAAGACUAAUCGAACCAUC
rnacentral:rRNA from 1 species